rnacentral:rRNA from 1 species
AAACCGGGGCUAAUACCGGAUGCUUGAUUGAACCGCAUGGUUCAAUCAUAAAAGGUGGCUUUUAGCUACCACUUGCAGAUGGACCCGCGGCGCAUUAGCUAGUUGGUGAGGUAACGGCUCACCAAGGCGACGAUGCGUAGCCGACCUGAGAGGGUGAUCGGCCACACUGGGACUGAGACACGGCCCAGACUCCUACGGGAGGCAGCAGUAGGGAAUCUUCCGCAAUGGACGAAAGUCUGACGGAGCAACGCCGCGUGAGUGAUGAAGGUUUUCGGAUCGUAAAACUCUGUUGUUAGGGAAGAACAAGUACCGUUCGAAUAGGGCGGCACCUUGACGGUACCUAACCAGAAAGCCACGGCUAACUACGUGCCAGCAGCCGCGGUAAUACGUAGGUGGCAAGCGUUGUCCGGAAUUAUUGGGCGUAAAGCGCGCGCAGGCGGUUUCUUAAGUCUGAUGUGAAAGCCCCCGGCUCAACCGGGGAGGGUCAUUGGAAACUGGGGAACUUGAGUGCAGAAGAGGAGAGUGGAAUUCCACGUGUAGCGGUGAAAUGCGUAGAGAUGUGGAGGAACACCAGUGGCGAAGGCGACUCUCUGGUCUGUAACUGACGCUGAGGCGCGAAAGCGUGGGGAGCGAACAGGAUUAGAUACCCUGGUAGUCCACGCCGUAAACGAUGAGUGCUAAGUGUUAGAGGGUUUCCGCCCUUUAGUGCUGCAGCAAACGCAUUAAGCACUCCGCCGGGGAGUACGGUCGCAAGACUGAAACUCAAAGGAAUUGACGGGGGCCCGCACAAGCGGUGGAGCAUGUGGUUUAAUUCGAAGCAACGCGAAGAACCUUACCAGGUCUUGACAUCCUUUGACAACCCUAGAGAUAGGGCUUCCCCUUCGGGGGCAGAGUGACAGGUGGUGCAUGGUUGUCGUCAGCUCGUGUCGUGAGAUGUUGGGUUAAGUCCCGCAACGAGCGCAACCCUUGAUCUUAGUUGCCAGCAUUCAGUUGGGCACUCUAAGGUGACUGCCGGUGACAAACCGGAGGAAGGUGGGGAUGACGUCAAAUCAUCAUGCGCCUUAUGACCUGGGCUACACACGUGCUACAAUGGGCAGAACAAAGGGCAGAGAAGCCGGGAGCUAAACCCAAUCCCACAAAUCUGUUCACAGUUAGGCACACAAUAGGCAACUCGACUAGCUGCUGGUCGGGUCACAGUAGGGUGUAACAAAGUAGGAGUAGGUCGGGUUUUAGCGGUCUUAGCAAGGCAUGACAAAAGAGGGUUUAACAAGGUUCCGCAAGUCGUAGCUAAGUAGCCCGCAACAAGGUAGCCGCGAUUAGGAGGUUCGUA